rnacentral:lncRNA from 1 species
UGAAGGACACGUCGCCCUCGCUUACGCCCCGCGUCUGAAGCCAGUACGCCCCGCGUACCCUUGCCCUUAUCUCUUCCGGAGUGCAAGCCAACUGGUCCAAGGUGGCGCCCUUAUCCGAUGGUUACGCCCCGCGUAGGUCCGAGGUACGCCCAGCGUACCGAGGCCUCGCAGGGCUAUAAAAAGGGGCCGAGAUUUCUUCAUUUUCCACACCUUUCUUCACUCUCUCUCUAACUUCUUUCUCUCUCUAAGUGUUCUAAACAAUCCUAAACCCUAGGGAACCUCCUUAGCCCCUGAGGGAAGCCCCGAGGCUCCCGGAGUCCCGAGAAAAAAGAGUUUUUCGGUUUCGAAACGCUGCUCCAAUUAAGUUCCGGUUUUUGAUAAGAUUCGUUGUAUGUGUGCUAUGCUUACACAAUUUUUAAUAUACCUUUCAAAUAAUUAUAGGAAUGUUAUCAGGUCCUUAAAAUAAUUAUUUGGGUUAUUAUUAUGAGUUAUAUUGAGCGUUAUUAAUGCUUAAUAAUAGUCAGACUAAUUAAUUUGUCACGGUUAUCGUUAGACUAAACCCUAGUGGUAUUGGUACUAGGUUUUAUCGAAGGAAUAUCGUUUUGAGAGUAUCGAAGCGCUGUCCGAGUGNGUUUUGAGAGUAUGAAAGCGCUGUCCGAGUGCUGAGUCACCACCUACUCAAGUGAGUGCAUAGUCCUUUUCAUCUUACACCUAGAUAUGAAGUAUUUUAUAUAAACUACGUGCUAUGUGUGCUUAUUGUCUGAAUACUUGUCGUCUAUGCUGGAUGAACAUUUUAUACAUGUUUUAAAUGAUUUAAACUGUUUACAUAUUUUAUAUAUACGAAUAUGUUGCGUAUGAUAUGGGUAGAUGAACGAUGAGAGAUAUAAGGUGAUGACAGUAUACAUUGGCAGCUAUAGACUUAGUACCUAUAGGACAAACACCGGUAGCUAUGGAUUUAGUACCUAUUAGGAACUGGUAGCUAUGGAUUUAGUACCUGUUAGGAACCGGUAGCUAUGGAUUUAGUACCUGUUAGGAAUUGAUAGCUAUCGACUUAGUACCUAUUAGAUGAACAUUGGUAGCUAUGGAUCUAGUACCCGAUGAGUAGACUAUAGCAGCUAUGGAAUUAGGAACAUUGGCAGCUAUGGAUUUAGUGUCGGUCCUAUGACCCUAGAAGUAAGGGACUUUGGAAUAAAUGAAUGCAUGAUAGAUGACUCUUAGGUUAAAUCCUUAAGAGUAAAGAAGAUAAUGGGGAAUGGGUAAUUGGGCUGAUUGUUUGAUUGUAUAAACAUAAUAAUUAUAUUAUUGUGGGUUGAAAACCCUAUGUACUCACCAGGUUUCCCAACCUGACCCACUCAGUUUAUUUAUAUCACAGGUGUUGAUACGAAGUCACAUUACACUGAGAGAUUAAAGAGAUGUAGAUCACUAGUAUAAGUAAAUGUAAGUUUCCGUUUAUGCUUAUGUUCCUGUAUUGACAAUGACAUCCCAAAAGUUUUAAAAUGAAUGAAAUACGUUUCUUCGAAAAUGUUUUGAUAACGUAUUUAUCAUAUUUUCCUGGGAACAAAAUACGCAACAUUAUUAUAAAAAGAAGUACUCUAAUUUUAUAAAGCAUAAACGAAAUCGGUCUUUUCUGGCAUUGAUUUUGGGGAUGUCACAGUUGGUAUCAGAGCAUUAGUUUAAGCGAACUAGGAAUAUGGAUUUAUUUCUAGACAUAAACUUAGAAUGCUAAGCAAUGAUUGUGAGGAGUGUGUCUAAUAAAACUUAGGUAAUACACUUGAAUAGACACAAGCACUAGCUUAUUUAGGGAAAAUUCCUAACAUGCUUUCAUGUGCUAAAUGUUUUAUGAUAUGCAUUAUAUGAACUGAUCUAUGGUCUGUUGCCGACCGGAUUUGGAAACUUUAUGUGUUCAGAUUUCUAAACGUUUAAUUACGAUAUUAGAACUGGCAUAUAAUUUUUCGGAGAGAUAAGGAGAAUUAUACAUCGAUCGUAAAUGAAAUCUUCUCUAUCUAAAUUCUCGUCACUCUACACCGGACAUCCAAAUUCGAUGUAUAGAUCGACAUGAUGAACACUCAAAGCGGAUUCGGAGAUAGUAACCCGCAGCCUAAGCCACAAGUGAUUGAACAUACACCAGAAGUAGCAGAUGCACCCGAACCAAUCACGAUAGGAGGAGUACAGGCAAUGGUGCAGAUGAUGUUUGAUCAACAGAUGAGAGAAACAAGGUGCUUAAUUCAACAAAGUAAGGACAAACUUACUGUGCCAGUACGCCAGGCACUCGCUCUUGAGGCAACCAUCUGGGUUGCUAAGUCUGUCGAAGAAAAGAUCAACGAUAGGAUCGCCAACAAAGUUGAAGUUGGCAAGAANGGAAAUUUGAGGAUCUUCAAGGUCCAACAGGAAAAACUUAUCUUCACAGUCUAGAGGAGGAAGAGGUAAAGCAAAAUGGUGUAACAGGAAAUGCCCUAAGGAAGUGACCUGCUUUAAAUGUUGGAAGAUUGGUCAUAAUGCCCACAAAUGCUCAACCAGGGAGGAAAUUUUGCCUUAACUGUAGUGGAGAAGGACACUUCAAGCAAGAUUGUCCGAUGAGAGCAACAACGCCAAAUGUACUGCUAAAGCACUAUGAGGGAUACGACGAGAAAGUGACUUGCUACAAAUGUGGAAGGAUAGGGCAUUACGCCAGCAAGUGCAUGUCUAAGAGUAAGGUGUGCUAUGGAUGUAACAAAGAAGGACAUUUACGUAGGGACUGCCCGAAGAGACAUGAAGCAGCUGACAAGGUAAUCAAAAGUGAGGAUUGAUAUCCGGAGAUCAAGCUAUGAAUGUAAACAUAGUAUGGUAGGGGUAGCCUAAUAGAGGCACGAUCUAGGGUGAACUUGAACAUCUAUGUAAUAGUUUCAAGAAAUAAUAAAGCCUUCAUUUUGUUAUCUGAUGUGUUAAACUGUUAUGUGAUUUUCUUGUAUGGUUACUUGGAAAACUGCGAGACAAUACUUGGGACGAGUAUGAGUAGGUGUGAAAGGUAGUAGAUGCAUAUACUAUCGGAAGCACAGGACUCACACUUGGAUCAGGGAAAGUCACAAGGUUACUGAGAAGCCAAUAAUUGAUUAUGUUUUAUUCAAGUAUGUCGUUACCAUCGUUUCGGUAAUGACUAAAAAGAUUGUUGAUAUUCCGACCCGAGUGGUCAUAUCGAAUUGAGUCCGACUACGAUAAGUAUGUUGCGUGAUUCAAAGAACCAAGUUUAAUGUAGCACCAACUUAAGCCAGAAGAAUUAAUCAAAGCGAUCAGUAGAGGUAUUGCGACGGUUGCUAGAAAUGCUACCUUCUAAGAUGUGAUCUAGAACAUGAAGGAAGGUAUAGUCUGUUCUGGAAUUUGACUCUAAGAGACUUGACUCUAAGCAUUGCAACACACGAUGAUAGGUCAUUAGAAUAUGACACAUCGUUCCAUUGUAGUAAUGAAAAGAACUUAUCUUAAUUUCGUAUCAACUGAGGAUUGACAUUGUGGCUUAAAGGUCAUAAUCUGGAGUCUAACGUGAGAUAGAGAGCGGAUGUAAGAUCGAGCACCGCCUGUAGUCAAGGAGUCCAAGAGUUAAAUACUCAUUCGAAGAAACAUCGAAGUUAUGAAUUAGGAUGAAGAGAUAACGUAUGGAGUCAUCAUGUGAUCCCUUUUUCGUUGAUGAUUCUGGGACGUAAUCAUCCUCAGGGGGAGCUAAUUGUAACGCCCGCAAAUCCGGGCUAGUCAAUUAGAGGCAAUAGGGUCGAAAACGACUUUUCGACAAAAGAUUAUUUAGAAUAAAUAAUAUGAACCAAGUUUUAGUAUAUGUCACAAGGUUUCCGUACAUAUAAAGAACGCCGAAAUCUGAGUUAUAACGAAGAAGUUAUGACCCGUUGAAGUUUCGCGACGGAACCGGCACGAUACCGAGAAGCGUAAAUAGUGAAUUUACGAUAGAGCGAGAUUUAGCCUUAGCGAUCUAAACAAAAGUCGUAGAAUAUGUUAAACUAAGAACAUCGAUAAAAAGAACGCCCAAAUCUGACUUCGUAUGAAGAAGUUAUGAUUUUUCGAAGUUUCGGACUAGCAGUGUACAACCUGAAAUUCGAAUAUUAGAUCGAGCGGUUUUUAGCCGACAUGACCUGAACGAGAAUCGAAGAUCUCGUUAAGAGUAGCGUAACGAGAAAAAGAUGGGCGAAAACGGAUGUCGGAUGAAGAAGUUAUGAGGAUUUAACGGACCAAUCGUGUCCCGGCCCGUUAAUAAUAUAAAAUUUAAAAUCGAGCCAAAAUUAGCCGACGAAGUCUAAACGAAAGUUGUAGAGUACGUUCCCACCUUCGCGUGGAUAUAAAGAACGUCAAAAACGGAGCUCGUAUGCAAAAGUUAUCAUUUUUAGAAUUCGAGAAUGCAAUUUGCGAAGGCUGAUAAGGAAUUGAUGACGUGGCGCAUUGUGGGCCGUCCAUCGCUGAUCAGAUCUCGCUUCGGAUGAAGGACACGUCGCCCUCGCUUACGCCCCGCGUCCGAAGCCAGUACGCCCCGCAUACCCUCGCCCUUAUCUCUUCCGGAGUGCAAGCCAGCUGGUCCGAGGUGGCGCCCUUAUCCGAUGGUUACGCCCCACGUAGGUCCGAGGUACGCCCAGCGUACCGAGGCCUCGCAAGGCUAUAAAAAGGGGCCGAGAUUUCUUCAUU